CCUACGGGAGGCAGCAGUGGGGGAUAUUUCACAAUGGGCGGAACCCUGAUGCAGCGACGCCGCGUGGGUGAUGGAGCGCUUCGGCGCGUAAAGCCCUAUCGUCAGCGAGAAAGAUGACGGUACCUGAUCAAGAAGCCCCGGCUAACUACGUGCCAGCAGCCGCGGUCAUACGUAAGGGGCGAGCGUUAUCCGGAUUUACUGGGUGUAAAGGGGGCGAAGACGGAGAUGCAAGAGAGAUGGGAAAGCGCGGGGUCCAACCCCCAGACUGUUCUUGCAACUGUAUGGCUCGAGAACAGGAGGGGCAGGUGGAAUUUCUAGUGUAGGGGUGAAAUGCGUAGAUAUUAGGAGGAACACCGAUGGCGAAGGCGG
rnacentral:rRNA from 1 species